UGUUGGGUUUGAGGUGAGUGUGUGUUUGUGGGAAGUGAGUGGUGAAGCAAGAGAAUGAGAGAGACGGCGGCAACGGGAGUGAGUAGAGUUAUCAACUCCGGCACGAGCAGGACAAGUUAACAGAGUUCGGCUACUGAUGGAACAUGGCGGAAUCUGUGGAGAGAGGAGCCUCUCCCUAUGUAGAUAGAAACGGCUCAUUCUGAGGUAACGAAAACACAACGAUUCUUAUUAACAGGUGAUUUAUACACCAAAGGAAAACAUACUUAUUAAUAUUAUUAAAUUCCAUUUCUGCCAAUAGAUCCCCCUAAUUGUUACACAC